UCUCCGCCAACGCGCUGCUGCGCGCCGACACCUCGCGCGGUACCAAACAGGACCUAGGUCAAGGACUACAAACCCCCACUAAAUUGAACGUGAGCACGGCGCCGCGACAGUCACUACGUAGAGACCUCGCUAUGGGCACGCCGGGGUCACCGCACUUGGACUUUAUCCGUCGGUCACCGUAUCCUAACUCGCCGAGAGAUGAUCCGUUCAUAUUGAGCCACAGUUCGCCGCGCGGCGCGGAGGCGGGCGCGUACCUCAGCAAGCUGGAGCUGGUGGGGCGCUGUCUGCAGCGCGCCGUGCACUCGCGCGACGUGCCCUGACCUGCGCACGCGCACCGUGGGCUCUGCACUGCUGUACAGUCGAUCGAUACAUGUAGUCAUCGUGAUGGAGUUUCGUGCUAGUGUUUUCAUGCAAAA